rnacentral:rRNA from 1 species
AUUGAACGCUGGCGGCAGGCCUAACACAUGCAAGUCGAGCGGAUGAAGGGAGCUUGCUCCUGGUUUCAGCGGCGGACGGGUGAGUAAUGCCUAGGAAUCUGCCUGGUAGUGGGGGAUAACGUCCGGAAACGGGCGCUAAUACCGCAUACGUCCUGAGGGAGAAAGUGGGGGAUCUUCGGACCUCACGCUAUCAGAUGAGCCUAGGUCGGAUUAGCUAGUUGGUGGGGUAAAGGCCUACCAAGGCGACGAUCCGUAACUGGUCUGAGAGGAUGAUCAGCCACACUGGAACUGAGACACGGUCCAGACUCCUACGGGAGGCAGCAGUGGGGAAUAUUGGACAAUGGGCGAAAGCCUGAUCCAGCCAUGCCGCGUGUGUGAAGAAGGUCUUCGGAUUGUAAAGCACUUUAAGUUGGGAGGAAGGGCAGUAAGUUAAUACCUUGCUGUUUUGACGGUACCAACAGAAUAAGCACCGGCUAACUUCGUG